UGAGGAAUGCAACUUACAGAAAGAAGGAUUUAUUUCAGCUCACUGAGGGGAUGUAGUCUACCAUGACACAAAAUGUCAGCAGGGAAGGAGAGCUAACAGCAAUGGGAUGUGAGAUGGCUAGUUAUAUUGUGUUCACAGGAAAGAGGGAGAAGGAGAGGGGAGGGGGAAGAGAGAAAGAGAGAGGAGAGAGGAAGAGUCAGAGAGACAUAGGCAGAGACAGAGAGAUGGAGAGAAAGAGGCAUAGAAAUGAAAAAGAAUCAGAGACAGAGAGAGACAGAGACAGAAAGAGGCAUAGAGGGAGACAGAGUAAGACACACACACACACACACAGAGAGAGAGAGAGAGAGAGAGAGAGAGAGAGAGAGAGAGAGAGAGAGAGAGAGAGCGAGCACCUAUUGACUUCCUGCUUCUUUCUUAUUCAGCCUGAAACACUAACUAGCUUAUGGGAUAAUGACACAUUCAAGGUCACAGAUUCCUUUGAAAACCUAAUGGAAGUAAUGGGCUCUCUACCCAGGAAGAAAACAUGUGUGUACAUACAUGUCAGAUUUUAUUGAUGUCUGGAGGAUCAUGAAAAUCUUGAGAUCAAGGCCAAGAGGGUCCACAGACACCUAGCAUAUAUUGGAGUGUGUGAGCCUUCGGAGAUCAGUGGACAAUUCUCAAGACGCCGGUUCUCCAUUGCUACAUUGUGGAAUCAGAUCUGUCUGCGCACAAGUAUCACUACUCACUGAGCCAUUUUGCAAGCCCAUUCUUUUGUAUUUCCAGGUCUUGGUUAAGGUCUGGAACUGUCCGUGAAGCUCAGGGUAGACUCAAAAUGAUAGUGAUCUUUUCCCCCGUGUAGCACCCCCCCCAAAUAAACAAAUAAAAUGUAAUUUAAAAA